CAGGCCAGGCCAGAUUUCUGAUUACAAAGAACAAGUUCUCAAUGACAAGAUGAGCUGUCAGGCAAUGUCUUGACUAUUUGUGAAGUCUGCAAAAAUAUUAGGUGCUAUGGACCACCUGAGAAUGAAGUGUUUAUAGCUAAAAGGAAGACAAGUGCUCUGUUGGCAUAAGGACGGGACGAAUAUGAAUGCUGUGUUUGAGCUCAUCCGCUGGAAACAACCAAGAGGAAGGAAAGUCCUCAUGGCUAUGUUCAUCACAAAAUUACUUGGGCAGCAGUGACUCCUCCCACCCACCCAGCAGUAUGAUUAUGAUCUAUCAGGCAAAAUGUCUCCAAAAGAACUGGCAAAUGUUUAAGCUGUCUGUAAAACAUUAGCAAGAGCUGUCUGCGACUUUAGUCACCUGCACUGAGGGAAAGUUAAUUCCAAGUGGAAGGGGUAUAGUAAAGGGCUUGUGAGACACCAGGAAACAGAACAACUGUUAUAUGAAAGAACUAAAAGAUUGUGCCUUGAUUAGUCAAGGAAAAUUGUUUGAGAAAGAUGUAACUACUCUCUUUAAAUGCCAAAUGUCAAAAAGGUGGAAGAUAUAUUUAAAAAAAUUUGCCUGUCUAAUUUUUUUUCCUACUCUGUUUAAAGGUUCCUAUGGCUUCCUUUCCCCUUCAUUAAAAGCCCUGCUCUAUAGAUCAUUUACAGCUGCAUUAAUGUUACCAUGUUAUUUUAGAGCUCCAUGGGGAUGAAAUAGUCAAAAUAUUAACUCCCACUAGUUUCUAAGUGAGAAACACUCCUAGUUUGCUAGGUGAGAAAAAUGGUAUUCAGUUUUGAGUUUGUAUUGUGAUAUUGAUGUAUUGUGAUAAGCCAUGUACAGAGCAUGUGCUGGUAAGCAGGAAAAGCCAUUGGCAGCAAAAAGUUUUGCUUUUCCAAUACAAUUAAUCAGAUUUUAUUUAGUGAGGCCCCAUUCAGUUAAACCACAACUUAGAGUAACCACAGGUGAAAACCUCACACAGAGAUUUAGCUAAAUGGAAGGUUUGCAGUCUCACAAAAGAAUCCUUCCUCCAGAAAUAAACUCAGAGUUGCUCCUGCAUUAAUGGCUUGUUUUGUCUGGAUGUCAAUCUGUACUGAAGAAAAAAAAAAAAAAGGUAAUGAUAGAUAAUUAUAUCUGAGUGUGCAUGAGCCAUAUCAGAUGUAGAGAUGGUCUGAUUGACUUGGGUGUUGGGACUGCUGUGUGGUUUAUUUUUUCUGCUCUGGGAAAAUGAGGGCUUGCCAGAAGCUUUCUCAGUUUAUGGGUUCUGAAUUAUGGGGUUUGGUUGCAACCCCAUUGUUGCUUUGCUUUGAAAAUUGUCAGACCCAAGGUUCAGCAUUUACAUCUCUGCAGACUGUAUCCAGCAAGAGAG